rnacentral:misc_RNA from 1 species
AAGCUUACUUACAACAACUUACUAUAGUUAGCUCUGUAAGAAAAUGAAUAUACAUAGGUUAACCAGUCAAUCUAGAAUGCUUUGAAGAGAGGCAAUAACCCACCACCACACACAAUGCUGAUUUAAUGAGCAGAUUAAUAAAUAUCAAGAAAAGUUGUCCUACAUAACUAACAUAUAACAAGAAAUUAAACAACAAGGAUGGCCAAUGGAGCAUUACUACAAGUGUUUAUGCUAGUUGACCGACAUGCUUUGUUUCAUUUAACAUUUGGAAAUAGCGCGCAUCUCAACCUCCUAAGAAAAU